CCCAGACUCCUACGGGAGGCAGCAGUGGGGAAUAUUGGGCAAUGGGCGCAAGCCUGACCCAGCAACGCCGCGUGAAGGAAGAAGGCUUUCGGGUUGUAGACUUCUUUUGUCAGGGACGAAGCAAGUGACGGUAUCUGACGAAUAAGCCACGGCUAACUACGUGCCAGCAGCCGCGGUAAUACGUAGGUGGCAAGCGUUAUCCGGAUUUAUUGGGUGUAAAGGGCGUGUAGGCGGGAAUGCAAGUCAGAUGUGAAAGCUAUGGGCUCAACCCAUAGCCUGCAUUUGAAACUGUAUUUCUUGAGUGCUGGAGAGGCAAUCGGAAUUCCGUGUGUAGCGGUGAAAUGCGUAGAUAUACGGAGGAACACCAGUGGCGAAGGCGGAUUGCUGGACAGUAACUGACGCUGAGGCGCGAAAGCGUGGGGAGCAAACAGGAUUAGAUACCCUCGUAUGA
rnacentral:rRNA from 1 species